rnacentral:rRNA from 1 species
UACGGAGGGUGCAAGCGUCGUCCGGAUUUAUUGGGUUUAAAGGGUGCGUAGGCGGACGAGUAAGUCCGGGGUGAAAGACGACGGCUCAACCGUCGCAGUGCCUUGGAUACUGCUUGUCUUGAGUACAGAUGAGGCUGAUGGAAUGGGUGGUGUAGCGGUGAAAUGCAUAGAUACCAUCCAGAACACCGAUUGCGAAGGCAGUCAGCUAAGCUGGAACUGACGCUGAGGCACGAAAGCGUGGGGAUCAAACAGG